rnacentral:rRNA from 1 species
GAUGAACGCUAGCUACAGGCUUAACACAUGCAAGUCGAGGGACCGGCGCAGGGGUGAGUAACACGUAUCCAACCUGCCCUUUACUCGGGGAUAGCCUUUAGAAGGAAAGAUUAAUACCCGAUAUAAAGGAUGGGGAUGCGUUACAUUAGGUUGUUGGUGAGGUGACGGCUCACCAAGCCUUCGAUGGCUAGGGGUUCGGAGAGGAAGGUCCCCCAGAUUGGAAAUGAGACACGGACCCAACUCCUACGGGAGGGAGCAGGGAGGAAUAUUGGGCAAUGGGCGCUAGCAUGACCAAGCCAAGUAGCGUGAAGAAUGAAGGCUUAUGGGUCGUAAACUUCUUGUAUAUAAGAAUCUGUAUUAUAUGAAUAAGGAUCGGCUAACUCCGUGCCAGCAGCCGCGGUAAUUC